UCCCGGAACAUAGGAUCUUCAGGGC
rnacentral:piRNA from 1 species